GGUUAAGCGACUAAGCGUACACGGUGGAUGCCCUGGCAGUCAGAGGCGAUGAAGGACGUGCUAAUCUGCGAUAAGCGUCGGUAAGGUGAUAUGAACCGUUAUAACCGGCGAUUUCCGAAUGGGGAAACCCAGUGUGUUUCGACACACUAUCAUUAACUGAAUCCAUAGGUUAAUGAGGCGAACCGGGGGAACUGAAACAUCUAAGUACCCCGAGGAAAAGAAAUCAACCGAGAUUCCCCCAGUAGCGGCGAGCGAACGGGGAGGAGCCCAGAGCCUGAAUCAGUGUGUGUGUUAGUGGAAGCGUCUGGAAAGGCGCGCGAUACAGGGUGACAGCCCCGUACACAAAAAUGCACAUGCUGUGAGCUCGAUGAGUAGGGCGGGACACGUGGUAUCCUGUCUGAAUAUGGGGGGACCAUCCUCCAAGGCUAAAUACUCCUGACUGACCGAUAGUGAACCAGUACCGUGAGGGAAAGGCGAAAAGAACCCCGGCGAGGGGAGUGAAAAAGAACCUGAAACCGUGUACGUACAAGCAGUGGGAGCACAGAGCAAUCUGUGUGACUGCGUACCUUUUGUAUAAUGGGUCAGCGACUUAUAUUCUGUAGCAAGGUUAACCGAAUAGGGGAGCCGAAGGGAAACCGAGUCUUAACUGGGCGUUAAGUUGCAGGGUAUAGACCCGAAACCCGGUGAUCUAGCCAUGGGCAGGUUGAAGGUUGGGUAACACUAACUGGAGGACCGAACCGACUAAUGUUGAAAAAUUAGCGGAUGACUUGUGGCUGGGGGUGAAAGGCCAAUCAAACCGGGAGAUAGCUGGUUCUCCCCGAAAGCUAUUUAGGUAGCGCCUCGUGAAUUCAUCUCCGGGGGUAGAGCACUGUUUCGGCAAGGGGGUCAUCCCGACUUACCAACCCGAUGCAAACUGCGAAUACCGGAGAAUGUUAUCACGGGAGACACACGGCGGGUGCUAACGUCCGUCGUGAAGAGGGAAACAACCCAGACCGCCAGCUAAGGUCCCAAAGUCAUGGUUAAGUGGGAAACGAUGUGGGAAGGCCCAGACAGCCAGGAUGUUGGCUUAGAAGCAGCCAUCAUUUAAAGAAAGCGUAAUAGCUCACUGGUCGAGUCGGCCUGCGCGGAAGAUGUAACGGGGCUAAACCAUGCACCGAAGCUGCGGCAGCGACACUGUGUGUUGUUGGGUAGGGGAGCGUUCUGUAAGCCUGUGAAGGUGUGCUGUGAGGCAUGCUGGAGGUAUCAGAAGUGCGAAUGCUGACAUAAGUAACGAUAAAGCGGGUGAAAAGCCCGCUCGCCGGAAGACCAAGGGUUCCUGUCCAACGUUAAUCGGGGCAGGGUGAGUCGACCCCUAAGGCGAGGCCGAAAGGCGUAGUCGAUGGGAAACAGGUUAAUAUUCCUGUACUUGGUGUUACUGCGAAGGGGGGACGGAGAAGGCUAUGUUGGCCGGGCGACGGUUGUCCCGGUUUAAGCGUGUAGGCUGGUUUUCCAGGCAAAUCCGGAAAAUCAAGGCUGAGGCGUGAUGACGAGGCACUACGGUGCUGAAGCAACAAAUGCCCUGCUUCCAGGAAAAGCCUCUAAGCAUCAGGUAACAUCAAAUCGUACCCCAAACCGACACAGGUGGUCAGGUAGAGAAUACCAAGGCGCUUGAGAGAACUCGGGUGAAGGAACUAGGCAAAAUGGUGCCGUAACUUCGGGAGAAGGCACGCUGAUAUGUAGGUGAAGUCCCUCGCGGAUGGAGCUGAAAUCAGUCGAAGAUACCAGCUGGCUGCAACUGUUUAUUAAAAACACAGCACUGUGCAAACACGAAAGUGGACGUAUACGGUGUGACGCCUGCCCGGUGCCGGAAGGUUAAUUGAUGGGGUCAGCGCAAGCGAAGCUCUUGAUCGAAGCCCCGGUAAACGGCGGCCGUAACUAUAACGGUCCUAAGGUAGCGAAAUUCCUUGUCGGGUAAGUUCCGACCUGCACGAAUGGCGUAAUGAUGGCCAGGCUGUCUCCACCCGAGACUCAGUGAAAUUGAACUCGCUGUGAAGAUGCAGUGUACCCGCGGCAAGACGGAAAGACCCCGUGAACCUUUACUAUAGCUUGACACUGAACAUUGAGCCUUGAUGUGUAGGAUAGGUGGGAGGCUUUGAAGUGUGGACGCCAGUCUGCAUGGAGCCGACCUUGAAAUACCACCCUUUAAUGUUUGAUGUUCUAACGUGGACCCGUGAUCCGGGUUGCGGACAGUGUCUGGUGGGUAGUUUGACUGGGGCGGUCUCCUCCUAAAGAGUAACGGAGGAGCACGAAGGUUGGCUAAUCCUGGUCGGACAUCAGGAGGUUAGUGCAAUGGCAUAAGCCAGCUUGACUGCGAGCGUGACGGCGCGAGCAGGUGCGAAAGCAGGUCAUAGUGAUCCGGUGGUUCUGAAUGGAAGGGCCAUCGCUCAACGGAUAAAAGGUACUCCGGGGAUAACAGGCUGAUACCGCCCAAGAGUUCAUAUCGACGGCGGUGUUUGGCACCUCGAUGUCGGCUCAUCACAUCCUGGGGCUGAAGUAGGUCCCAAGGGUAUGGCUGUUCGCCAUUUAAAGUGGUACGCGAGCUGGGUUUAGAACGUCGUGAGACAGUUCGGUCCCUAUCUGCCGUGGGCGCUGGAGAACUGAGGGGGGCUGCUCCUAGUACGAGAGGACCGGAGUGGACGCAUCACUGGUGUUCGGGUUGUCAUGCCAAUGGCACUGCCCGGUAGCUAAAUGCGGAAGAGAUAAGUGCUGAAAGCAUCUAAGCACGAAACUUGCCCCGAGAUGAGUUCUCCCUGACCCUUUAAGGGUCCUGAAGGAACGUUGAAGACGACGACGUUGAUAGGCCGGGUGUGUAAGCGCAGCGAUGCGUUGAGCUAACCGGUACUAAUGAACCGUGAGGCUUAACCUU
rnacentral:rRNA from 12 species